AUUGAACGCUGGCGGAAUGCUUUACACAUGCAAGUCGAACGGUAGAGGGGGCAACCCCCUUGAGAGUGGCGAACGGGUGAGUAAUAUAUCGGAACGUGCCCAGUCGUGGGGAUAACGUAGCGAAAGUUACGCUAAUACCGCAUACGAUCUAAGGAUGAAAGCGGGGGAUCGCAAGACCUCGCGCGAUUGGAGCGGCCGAUAUCAGAUUAGGUAGUUGGUGAGGUAAAGGCUCACCAAGCCAACGAUCUGUAGCUGGUCUGAGAGGACGACCAGCCACACUGGGACUGAGACACGGCCCAGACUCCUACGGGAGGCAGCAGUGGGGAAUUUUUGGACAAUGGGCGCAAGCCUGAUCCAGCAAUGCCGCGUGCAGGAUGAAGGCC
rnacentral:rRNA from 1 species